AGCAGCCGCGGUAAUUCCAGCUCCAAUAGCGUAUAUUAAAGUUGUUGCAGUUAAAAAGCUCGUAGUUGAAUUUCGGGAUCAAUAUGUUGGUCGUGCCUCGGUACGUACUAGCUUAUUGGUUUCUCCUUUCUGAAGAACCAUGAUGUCAUUUAUUUGGUGUCGUGGGGAAUCAGGACUGUUACUUUGAAAAAAUUAGAGUGUUUAAAGCAGGCUCACGCUUGAAUACAUUAGCAUGGAAUAAUGAAAUAGGACGUUUGAUUCUAUUUUGUUGGUUUCUAGGAUCGACGUAAUGAUUAAUAGGGAUAGUUGGGGGCAUUAGUAUUCAAUUGUCAGAGGUGAAAUUCUUGGAUUUAUUGAAGACUAACUACUGCGAAAGCAUUUGCCAAGGAUGUUUUCAUUAAUCAAGAACGAAAGUUAGGGGAUCGAAGACGAUCAGAUACCGUCGUAGUCUUAACCAUAAACUAUGC
rnacentral:rRNA from 1 species